GUUGCCAAUUCUGAAAAUCAAUAAGCACAGGUAAAUUGUCCAUGGUUAUGUGGAUGUGCAGCUUACUACCCUACUAGUUACAUUUAAUGACAGAAAUCAAACUGAUUUCUUCAUGCAAACAAAAAGCAAAAAGCAAGGGAAGUGGGAAGGACCUAGAUCCAGGAACUAAAAGCCACGGCAGAUAGGACAGAGCAGACUAGUCACCCCCAGUUCUAUUCUCCCAUUCUUCUUUAGUUAUCAGAUUGUGACUUUCGGUGGGGUUCAUCACCUCUCAGAGCAAAGACCACAUUUUCUAGUCUUCUUUGCAGCUAGGUGUGAUCCAUUAGCCAAUGCAAUGUUAGCAAUUGUGCCUGGUGUUCAACUAUCAGCAAGUUUUCUUCAAGCAAGGAGUUCACCCCUUUGUCUUUCUGUUGUCUGUGAUGGGAACUCAAUGGCUGGUGCUCCAACAGUUUCUUGGACCGUGAGACAACCUCGAGAUCUAAAGCCAUGAUCUGAAGUCAGAGCACUGAGAGAGAGUGAACUAGAUCCCUGGUGCUGUGGGCCAUCACAUCAACCCUAGGAACAUGAAGUCACUUAGGGUGUUCUUUGAGGACACCUGAUCUGCCAUCACGAGACUAGGCACCUUGAGGACCUCCUCAUACCUCUCUAGUUAGCACAGUAUCAUGCAGAAGAAGAGGGCUAGAUCUGGAGAGGUUGCUUUGCGCUCAGAGCAGAGAGACACAGCCUGACGAUCAGCUUUCCUCAUUCAUUUUUCGGAAUGCAACCACAGGCAUGGCAUGCCGAACUGUUUACAGUGAAAAUAAAGGAAAGACUGCAGAAGAUGGCACCAAGAAAGUGGAUGGUGACAACCUUGAUUGAGAGGACUCUUCAGGGCAUCUGGGUGUUUUGGGUCCUUGUCUAGGAUUCUGGUGAUAUGGAAGAGGAUGUACGAUGUCCAGCCUGGGGAGAAAUGCAGAAGGCAGUUUAAUAAAGCAUGCAGUGGAAUUGCCCUCCCUGGCCCUCCAGAUUAUAACAGUGGAGCACGGCCUGUCAGCCUCCCUCCUUCUCUCUCUGCCUCCCUCCCUGCCUUCCCUCUUGUUUUUCUUUAAUUAAGGCUGGUAUCUCAAUGAGGAUCUGAAGAGAUGCUCAUAUGUGCUCAGAAACUCUUCUGCAGUGCAGUGUUCACAGAAGGCCUCGUGGUGCUCACUUUCCUGCUCAGAGCUGCAAAGUCGAGCCUCCGCUGAGCUGGCAAAGAAGAGCCUGACUUUGUACAGAGGAAAUAAGUGCGUUUUGGUCUUUAUUGUUUUUGUUUAUUUGUUUAUGGUUUUGGUUUGGUUUUUCUGAGAGUUCUAGUCCUUUGGCUUUUUAUUCCAGUCUGAGGAGAUGGGAUGCAAUUUAUCCACUUGUGCUUUUCUUUCUGGCUGUGUUUUUGGUUCAGGGCUCAAUGCUGGUCAUUUCAACUCUUUGAAAGAGCUUUUCACAAAAUCCUGAAGAGGUGAUGUGUGUUGUCAUCAACUGGGGCGGUGGAAACCAGAAGCUUGCAGCUUAGGAGUCUGCUUUUUGAAUUAGCUCUUUGGGUAAUCAGUAUUCACACUAAAACCCGAGAGCUUCCCUCUAAAGUCAUUGUGACCUUUGGGGGAAGAGAGUGCUUGAUAGGAAGAAAAAUAACCACAUGAGCUGCCUCUUCUGAACUCCACUGGCCUUCAGAAUCAGUUCAUAAAUAAGACCGUAAACUUCCUGAGGUAAGGAAUCUUAAAUUGCAUUUCUUUGUGUCUCAGACACAGCAGUAUGUAACCAUGGAAUGAGCACAGUCCUGAGAGUCAAAAACACCUGAGUUUCAACUCUAUCUGCAACUGUCUCACCUUGGAUAAAUCCCGUAACGUC
ensembl:lncRNA